GACACGUGAACUGCAUUGACACAGUCCAGGCUUCUAAUUGACACACCGGCUGCGUUGACACAGUCCAGGCUGCUAAUUGACACAUCGACUGUGUUGACACAGUCCAGGCUGCUAAUUGACACAUCGGCUGCGUUGACACAGUCCAGGCUGCUAAUUGACACGUGAACUGCACCGGUGCAGUUUAGACCGCAUCGGCUGCUUGGCACAGUACAGGCUGCGCCACUUAGUCCAGGGGGCGUCGACUCAGUGCAGAGGGCGUUGACGCAGCAAAAGCCCGCCGCACAGUGUUUAUAAGGAAGUGGGUUUGGCGACACAAUGCCACUUGCCGAAACAAGCCAGACCUCACUCACGCUCGCUUGUCGAAGUUCGUGUCAGUGCAGACUUCGUGUUCGUGCCUUCCUUGCCGAUUAUGGAGCAGAGACGCAAAUCAUCCGCCGUGUAGGACCAUUUUGAUGUCCCGGAGAAUAAGGUGAAAUGUCGAAUUGUCAUACACCAACAGAAGCACCUCCACCAUGCUGAGGCAUUAUCGGGCCAAGCAUGAGAAUGAAGUUCGCGAUACACCCAGUAUUACGCCAGGUUCCAGGAAGCAGCUGUACUGGAAGGACCAACACACUUCUUUCCCAAACCUCUCCCACCUCGCAAAGGAGUUCCUUUGUACGCCAGCCUCAUCCGUCCCUUGUGAGCGUGUGUUCU